UACGUAGGUGGCAAGCGUUGUCCGGAUUUAUUGGGUUUAAAGGGUGCGUAGGCGGCCCUGUAAGUCAGUGCUGAAAUAUCCCGGCUUAACCGGGAGGGUGGCAUUGAUACUGCAGGGCUUGAGUAAAGUUGAGGUAGGCGGAAUUGACGGUGUAGCGGUGAAAUGCUUAGAUAUCGUCAAGAACACCGAUCGUGUAGACAGCUUACUAAGCUUUAACUGACGCUGAGGCACGAAAGUGUGGGGAUCAAACAGG
rnacentral:rRNA from 1 species